UACGGAGGAUCCGAGCGUUAUCCGGAUUUAUUGGGUUUAAAGGGUGCGUAGGCGGCUUUUUAAGUCAGGGGUGAAAGACGGUGGCUCAACCAUCGCAGUGCCUUUGAUACUGAAGAGCUUGAUUACACUGGAGGUAGGCGGAAUGUGACAAGUAGCGGUGAAAUGCAUAGAUAUGUCACAGAACACCGAUUGCGAAGGCAGCUUACUAUAGUGCAAAUGACGCUGAGGCACGAAAGCGUGGGGAUCAAACAGG
rnacentral:rRNA from 1 species